GAUGAAGAACGCAGCGAAAUGCGAUACGUAGUGUGAAUUGCAGAAUUCAGUGAAUCAUCGAAUCUUUGAACGCACAUUGCGCCCGCCAGUAUUCUGGCGGGCAUGCCUGUUCGAGCGUCAUUACAACCCUCAGGCCCCCGGGCCUGGCGUUGGGGAUCGGCGGAGCCCCCCGUGGGCACACGCCGUCCCCCAAAUGCAGUGGCGGUCCCGCCGCAGCUUCCAUCGCGUAGUAGCUAACACCUCGCGACUGGAGAGCGGCGCGGCCACGCCGUAAAACACCCAACUCUUCUGAAGUUGACCUCGAAUCAGGUAGGAAUACCCGCUGAACUUAAGCAUAUCAAUAAGCGGAGGA
rnacentral:misc_RNA from 1 species